rnacentral:lncRNA from 1 species
AAAAUGCUUAAACAAUCCAUACGCAGUCAAAGAGAUAACCUGGGCAACUAAAAACAUCUUGUAGAUGAGCUGGAGAAAAUGGGACGGGAAAGAGACUAUUUAACCUUCCGAUGCAGGCAGUCUCAUAUGAAGAGUGGGAUGAUGGCGGGCUGCGGCCUGCUUGCUCUUAGGCAGCCUACCUUUCAAGCAAUAAUGGGUGGGAAUGAGACUUGACGAUGACUCCAAAAAAAAAGUGGUUGCGUAAUGGCGUCUGAACCUCUCAAGUUCAUCAAAAGGAAAGGAUGUGGAAACGCACGGCAAUCCGAACCAAAUCUCUGCUUAUUUUCUUUGGAAACAAAUAAGAAUGUGUCUGAAUAUAAAAGGAAGCAUGGCAUUGCUGUUUCAGAGGGCUGUGUUUGGCAGACAGGCAUAAGAACUUGACAUGGAUGAUCAGUGUCAGUGAUUAGGAGGUUGGACCACAUUACAUUAGCUCUAUCAGUCCACUACAGCAAGAUCCUCGAAAAAUAAGUCUAUUAUAGCAAGAUUCUCCAGUCAGUCAUACAACCAAAAGAGAUGGAUCAAAGCUGUACUGUACAGCUACAACAUGCCUUAUUGUACUCUCUUCAUUCAUUGAUUGAUUCUGCAAAUAAAGGUGAUUCACUUCACCGCAAAGAGAAGCCACUUUUGGCCUCCUCCAAAGUCCCAUCCCAUCAGGCGCAAAAACGGGCUCUAGAUCUCAGACCCUUUUAGUUUUGUUUCAGACAGUGCUGAAAUGGAACUACUAGUACAGAAGAAAUUGAAGUUACAAAAAUCACAACUAAGUACAAGUAGAGCUGAUGAAACAAAGAAUUGAUCAUGUGCAGACCGAAUAGUAAGUAGAUCGUCGUGCGGGGAAUUAGCAUCCGCGUCAUGCGAUUCGAUGCGACGCUGCCUGUGUGUUGAAGUGAUCAAGCUAGACGUACGUGUGUGAAAUGGGUGGGUGGAUCAAUCUCAGAAGGCGGUGCAGUUUGUGGGCAAGCCGGUGAUGUUAUCGACGGCGACGAGCUCCUUGGUGGCGCAGGUGAGGACGUCUUGCCCGAGCUUGGCGCCUGCGGACUUGAGCCCCUUGAGCGACACGGCCUGGUUGAAGAGGUUGACGACGGGCAGCUUGGACGCCGGUGGCAUCUUCCCCUGCGGCAGCAGCGGCGAGAAGUCGUCGGCGACGAGCGGCACCUCGAAGUCCGUCUUGUCGUGCUUGAGCAUGUUGUCCUUGGCGCUGAUGUGCGCGCCGGGCUCCAUGUGGUUGGUGGAGAAGCUCGUCUGGUUGGGGAAGUUGGGGUACAGGCUCACGUACCCGCGCAGGUACAUCAUGUCGAUGAGGAACUUCUUCCACGACGCCUGCCAGCCGUUGGUGCGCGACCUCGGGAUCUGCACGGGGUUCUUCUUGGCGUCCUCCGUGAAGCGCGCCGCCAUGUAGGCGUAGAACUCGCGCCAGUGCUUGGGGAAGAAGACGGCGCCCCAGCUGCAGGGGAGCUGGUGCAGGUAGGGCGUGUUUGGGUGCACCUUCCUGAAGAACUCGGUGGCGUUCCACUUGGGCCGCUCCUUCACCACCUCCACCAGCCGCGGCGUGUAGAGAGAGAUGGAGGAGAGCUCCGGCAAGGCCACGGCGGGGUCGUAGCGGUAGGCCAGCAGCGCGUACUUGACCCACAGGUAGUAGUAGGGGGACACCUCGAUGUCGUCCUCCAGGAGGAGGCCGUAGUCGUCGUCGGAGGCCGGGUACCAGCUCUCGCUCACGGCGCGGAUCAGGCCGCCCUGGAUGAUCCGACGCCGCAGCGUCUUGGGCCCGUGCGGCCAGUCGAAGGAGUUCACCACCUUGAGCGUCGACGCGUCCACCCGGCUGUCCAUGUUGAAGCUGAUGGGCACCUCGUCGCCCACGUAGUACGCGCUCCGCAGCGACGUCAGCAGCCGCAGCAGCGACUUCGCACGGUUCUGCGUGAUGAUGUUCACCGAGAUCCGCAUCCGGUUCCAGUCUAAAUCGCAACCCAAGAUUAAUCAUCAAACACGGCUUCCUAAAUUGCAAUCCAUGGAGGGACGACAUGCGAAGAUGCUUACUUGGAAGUGCCGCAGGCUUAAGUGUGGCCAUCCAGAGCACCUUGGAGACGGCGGUCCUCGGGAGGAGGACGAGCGCGGUGCGGUUGACGGCGGCGUCGGCGGCCAUGCGGAGCGCGUCCUUGACUUUGGCGUCGACGUCGGCGAGGGCGACGACGACGCUGGGGUUGUGCAUCUGGACGAUGCCGCGCAUGCUGGCGUAGACGGCCUGCAGGACGGGCACCUCGGAGCGCGACGGGCCGGACAGGGCGCCGAGCCCCAGGUCGAAUAUCUUGAACCGCCGGUCCUUGCACACCACCUUGGGCCACUUGAGCACCGUCGCGGCCUCCUCACAGGGGCAGUGCCCGCCGCCGGAGACGACGAGGUAGGCCUUGCGCCCGGGCGUGGUGCGGAACCGCUCGAGCAGCGGCGCCAGCGCCCUGACCUCGCCGAGGGAGUGCGCGUAGAAGAGCGCGUCCACCUUCUGCGGGUGCAUGGCCGCCCACUGCGUGACGUAGCCGGAGGUGAGCGCGCGCCACCACUGCUCGUCGCGCACCUGCACGAUGUCCUUGAAGAUGACGGUCGUCUCGGAGACGUAGGCGAGGCGGUGCUCGCUGUCCCCCCACGUCUCCUUGUCGUUCGGGUCCACGGGGAGCACGAAGGACCCCGCGCCCAUGUACUUCUGCAGCUGGUAGCUCAGGUGCAGGUCCUCGCCGGUCAUGAAGGUGAAGGGCGUCUCGAUGAAGAGUGUCUUCACGAGCUCGCCCGGGAGGAACCACGAGCUCGACAGGAAGUCCACCUGCACGAUGCGGUCGACGGUGAUGUCGUAGGCCGGGUCCGGGAGGUACAGCCCGGCCUCCUUUGAUCGGAACUUGCGGUAGCUCGGGAACGUGAAGUCCUUCUGCCGGAACGGCAGGAUGCGGCCGAUGCUGCCGAGCACGGCGUUGCCGUACUUCUCCGUGCCGCCGACGUGGCAGAGGAUCUCCAGCAUGCGGGCGCCCGGGAUCAUGUCGUCGUCAAGGACGUAGACGAAGUCCGACUCGGACUGCAGCGCCAUCUGGAACCGGCCGUAGUACUUGAAGUCGUAGCCGGAGGCGACGAAGCUGACGCGCGAGUCGUUGUAGCUCUCCACGAUGCGGCGGAGCGACGCCUCGUUGGGGCUCCCGAAGGAGAGCACCCAGGCGCGGUGGAACGGCAGCGUCUGCCGCCGCAGCUGGUCCAGCUGCGCGCACAGCGUCCGGCGCUUGAAGUGGUUGAGGAUGACGGUGACGCGCGGCACGUUUGGGCCCGACGCGCUCCACCGUGACCGCAUCCGGAGCAGCUCGGGGAGCGUCUCGGCGCCGAAGCUCAAGCGCUGGAACGCGAGGACCUCGUCGUAGAGCUCGCGCUUGAGGCGGAUCAUGACCUCGUCCGUCGACUUCUUCUGCUCGAAGUCGAUGCUCUCGUGCUCGCACACCUCCUGCGGGGACAGCGGCGGCGCGUCGCCGGGCUGCGUGGCGAUGAGCUGCUUCCAGUGCUGCGCGAGGCGGGUCGCCCACGCCAGGUCAGGCUUCACGCGCAUGUCCACGGCGGGGCUCAUGUAGUAGAGGAGGAAGGUGGCGUAUAUGGCGAACGCCAGCUGGAGGCACGUCAGCGUCGCUACCAGGCGGGUCGAGUUCCUCGCCCCGCCGCCGCGGGAGGGCUUGUUGCCGCCCUUACCGCCGCCGACGUAGUCGCCGAGCAUGCCGUCCAGGGAGUCGUUCCUGACGAUGUGCGCGCGGGUGACUCCCAUGGCGGGAACUCAGCUCCUCGCCGCCACCGCGAGGCCUGAUUUGAAAAACAGAGAGGGAAGAGUUUCAGAGGUCGCCUUUCAGUCUGCACCGCACAGACUGCAGAAGAGUUGCAGAGAGAAGGCAAUAGCAAACCCAACUAGUUAGUUAUCUUGCGACACCAUGUAACUGUGCUAAAAUUUUCAGUGUGCUAAAGAAAGAUUUUUAUGGGCUAUGAAUGAUGGACGAAUUGCUUGAUUAGUGAGCAUCCAAAUGAUGCAGUACGGAUUCAGCAAAGCGAACAGCCAAGGACAAGCAACGCAUACGAUUUCCUUUCUUCUUUUUUGAUGGUCAUGCAUGACUUUGUUUGAUUGUUGAUGCAGCUAUUUGCAAACUGCCGCAUGGUACUUGUAUGAAACAAAACAUGGUUUGAUUGAAAGGAGGGAAUUGUUACCUUGGCUGAAUUGAAAAGCCAGCAAGAAACACUUUCUCAGUUUUCAGAAAGAGAAGCAGCGGGUAAUCUCGUAUGGAAAGCCGCAGCAAUUUUUCAGGAGCAGAACCUAGGUAGAGUCAAAGCUGCAGCUAUGAUACAGAGUUGAGGCAGUGAAUCGAGGAUUCCAAGACCAAGAAGAGCAUGCAAUGAAUUGCAGGCCGGUAACGAAAGGGAGAUACAGGGGAGUUCAGACUCCAGAGAGGAAGCUUGGCUACUCUAUCGAUCAUGCAGGGACCCUAGGUUGCAGCGAGGCAGGAGACCUGCCUUUUAUAAGUGAGGCGAUCGCAAUGCAACUUCGUUGGGAGAAGAGUAAGGGGUGCCUGGCAACGUGGCACAUCACAUUGGCGCUGCUAAAAGAAAAAGAAAAUCAUUCGACGAGCAAAUCACUUGCUGCCUCGGCAAAAGACUGAAGCUUGGAGGAGGAGGAACAGGCACGAUCGACGACCGUGAGUGCGAGAGAAGCGAGGUCGAUCAAAGCGAGGGUUUGCUCUGCACAAAUGGAGCAGCCCUCGCCUCAGCACGGCUCGCUUGCAUGAUUGCUUCGCGUUACCUUCACAUCUCCUCGACUCCUCGUCAUGCACGAGAUCAUGGGCUUGCAAAAAGAAAAAGAAAGAAAGAAAGAAAGAAAGAAAGAGAAGGAUAAAAAGAAGGUAGCUUGAAUCCACCUCUGCGCCCGUAAAUUCUGACGAGCUCUGUUCCAUCGUGCAAUGCGCUCCGGGCUCAUUAACUUGCUGGUUCUGUCAUCUCCCUAUUCUGUUGGCAAGGGAAGCUGAUAGCGUUUCCAUGAAGCUAGAGUUUAAUGACGGGAAGGAGGAAACAAACAACUCCUCAACAUGUGCCAAUGGGUUUCAUUUCAUGUCCUCCUAGGCCUGAAAAGCUACGGGAGUAGGGAUAGCAACUGAAAUCACAAAUCUCCCUAGGCAGUAUUAUCUCAGUUCUUGGCUACCUCGCCCAGGAUCAACAUCUAUUGAUGCAGAGUUGCAGACUGGGUGAGACAGAACUGGUGCUUGAGGAAUUUUAGUGGUAAAUGGCAUCAUUUCAGACACUAAGUUCAGGACCUCAGGUAGCAUUAGCUAUGCUUCUGUAGUUCGAUCAGUUAAGCAAGGCUGUGCAAAUUUCCCUCGGCCGUGGCAGUAUUGUCUCAGUUCUUGGAUCAACAUAGGAUCAACAUCUAUUGAUGCAGACUGGUUGGGACGAAUGUGUCAUUUGAGAAAUUUCCAUGGAUUGAGUCCUAAUUCUCACAGUUCUAACAGCUGCCUAACCGUGCUCGGUUCCCAAGAAGAGAAAGAUGCGCACAAUGUCAAACACGUAGCUUCAAUCCUAGGUCAACCAAGGCACAAGGUGCCAGAUACGAGUGUGAGUCUGAAAAUGCUUAAAAAGCGCAGAGAGCAAAUGACCGCACAAGAGACGUUGUGAGGCGAGAGGGUGAAGGAAAGGGAGGAAAAAGGGGUCGGAUGCAUGCAGCUACUCCAAGCGACAGGUGCAUGAUAUUGCAGCACAUCCACCACCGGCGAUCACGGAUCUUAAGACAUCUAGAGAUCAGCGAUGCCGGUGCUCCAAACUAGACUGGAAUGUACGCGAACAUUGCGAUCGAGCUUGCUGCAGAUUGAGGGCAAAGAUGCUAGUGUGAAUUGGAAAAAGAAAACAAUAUUUCUUUGUUUUCUGUACUCAGCCGAAGAACAUCAAUUCUUUCCUCUGGAGAUUCUUUGUCAAAUUAUAUUGUGCUCAUCUUGAGGCCGGGCAGCAGGCAGUAUAUAAUUUGACAGGCAGUACCAAGUAGCAGCUGCACUAGUAAUAUCUUUCUGUUUCUACUUUCUACCAUUGUUUUUUUAUCCUGGACGAAAAAAAUUGCACUAAAUCUUUAUUGCAAGAUUUGGAAUUGGUCUGAACUGAAUGUAGGCCAUGAAAAAGAAGUUCAAUCAAAUUUUCGUCCUACUUGGGUUUAAGUUCCAGUCUGAUUGGAUUUACAGGCGAGCUGUUGCUGAACCAGCUAUCAUUGAUCACAAUCUGUUUUUGAAAGACCUUGGGCUCCCUGUUGUAAAUUAUAUGUUGUACGCUAGUGAAAACAAUUUAACAGCAUCCGAAAGGUUCAGUUACUCUGUGUUUGAUGUAUCUUGCAGUCACAAACAUGUCUUGUUCAGAAUCAUUUCUGCAUAUGGGAAUUGGGAACAUGAUUGAUUACCACGACUGCGACUAGGAAGGCGAAGCAUUAAGCUUGGCACCUCCAGGAUGCAGGGGUCAGAUCUUGACAGGAGGGAUACAAAUCACUGACCUGUGCUCUUUAACUUUUUGGCACGUUUGCCAAGCUCAGAAAUACAGCAUAUUAUUCUAGCACCGCGACUGACUGUAUUACUGUAUAUGCACUGACCUAGUAACGUACAAGCAUAAGCCUAUUUCCUUUAGCUCGUUGACCUCGACCAGGAGGCGUCGGCUUGCGGCCACCGUGGGAUUCUCAAAAGGAGAAAACCGCGGCCAACAGAUUCAGUGACUACCACGCUAGUGCUGUAAUGCCGUGCAGCAAGUCAAACGGGGCUUAAAAAUUGGACGCGGCCAAACAGAAUCAGUACGCGUUCUUACGCCGAUGCAUGCAUGCUACGCUGGAAGAAGCGGUGGGGGAAUCCACAGCGUUCCAACCUCGCCGAGGCCACGGAAGCAGUACGUCGGCAUCGCCGCGGCGAGGCGCUGCAGGCGGCGGACACAAAAAUGGAGGCCUGAGAUGCGAGCAGCGGGGGAGGAGAAUGUGAGGCUCAGGACGUGGUGGGAAACGGGAUGCGCGUACGUACGCCAGGUGAUGCUUCUGUGUUCUGGGCAACAAACAUGGCGGCCGCGAGGGAGGAAGACGCCGGCGGCAGCCGCCCGCCGUGGAGCACAAUGCGGCGAUUGGAGGCGCGCCGGCGAUGCUUUUUUCCGAGAAUACAUAGGAAAGCUGCGUAUCUUUUCAUUAAGAAGAGAAAUGAAUAAGUUCUUACAACGCGGACCUCCCCGGACGUACGUACACGGAUGUUUUACAUAUUGGAUGCUACAUUACGCAAACCAAACACAACUAAGGAAAGGGCAGGGGUACUAGCACAGGGCUAAGGUGGUUGCGCUCCAUCGGCUGCAGCCGGCCAUCCUAGGACUUUCGUAACGGCAGUUCGUAGGAGGGGUCCAGGCUGCGCCUUAGACCUGUGAUUUAUCCUUUAACUAAACUCUUUUUCUAGCAGUUCUUGGAUUCAUGAAUGCCCAUGGCAGUUGAAUGACAAAAGGUAGUUCUUGUAUGACUUCUGCAACAACAUUUGCAUGGUUAGAACCAUAGUAUAUAUGAUCCCAUACUUUGGACGCCACUCAAAGCAUUCCAUACACGAAUUUUUAAUUUGGUGUCUUUGUUCAUUGGGUCUGCAAGGCAUUCUCUACAAUGGAAGCCCCAAUGGAGCAUUGGAGGAAACCACAAUCUCAGCAGAGGAAACAAAAACUCCAGCAGUUAAAUUUUAGCAUUCUUGCAUGUUGUUUUAUUCCAGAUGGGUUUUGGUUGCACAAUUGGAUCGGAUAAUGGACGCGAUAUGGUAGCCGGAGUUGGUUGAUUGCCACACGUUGCCGUGGUACCGCUGUUAGUCAGAGUACUCCUUAUUGUUCAUUUAGUAGUACAUUGCUCGGUGAAUGUGAAGAAGUAGGCCGUCGAGUGUCUUCAAGCUGAUCACCCACCAAGAUUGAGUAACUCAGAUUGGCUGCAGUGUAAUCAGGAAGAAAACAAUUGUGCAGAUGACACCAUAGGCCUAUAACUCUAAGUAGCACUUCCAGGUAGAUGGGGCUUCAACACGAACUUGGGGCUAGAAGUAUUUCUUGAAUCAUGAAAAUAUUUGUAUGUACUGUUUCAGAUCUAUAUUGUUCAAGUCAACGGCACUGCUAGACAUCGCUGUUGGUUUGGUACAAAUAAAACAUGAAAAAAAAUUGCUCUUCCUUACCAAAACUCAGAAUGACUGGCAUGCAAGGUUUUUCAUUGACAUUUGACAAAUCUGCCAAUCACAUGUGAUGCUAGUAGCCACUUGUUUUGCUUUUUCUUUUCCAUGGAAAUCCACACACACAUAUAUUGUCAAAUUGUUAUGAUGAUAAACUGCAUGCAAGCUAAAAACUAAUCAAAUGUGACUACCACUAAGGCUUCUCUGUUUUGAUUGGAGAAUAUAGCUUUACAGGAAGCAUGAUAAAAACGAUAUUACAGCAAACAGACUGAUUGUCCUCUUUGUCUUCCCCCCUUUAUUUGGGAAGCAUGGGAUAGUUGGGUAUUUGGGAACAAAACAAACAUUUGGGGUGGGACUGAAUGUAAAGAAAAAAAUAACAAGUAUAAUCAUGCCCAUGUAAAAAAAACGGUGAUGGCAUUGGCAUCAAUAUGUGUGUUCCUUUAUUAGGCCAUUAGCCCUUCUAUUUGAGAUUUAUUCACUCAAAGAAUGGCCAUGUGAGGAUUCAUUCAUUCUGAAAAAUGCUAAUACAAGGUCGAUUAAUAUCAACCCCAAACUGGUUGGCUGAUUGCACGAGCUAUCCAUUUUUCUUCAAAUUAUAUCUACUCGAGUGGGAGCUGUGAUCCGGCAUCAGACUUGCCAGGCAGGUGUGAUUGCGCGUGAGCUCAAGCAAGCAAGCAAGCGCGCGGCGUGGCUGCACGGCCAGCUACACUCGUCGCCCCUUCACAAGCCCAGCCGGUACCUCUUCUUGUCUGCUCUCUCGUCUUGGUUACCGCUCACGGCCGCGUCGCUGGUUUGCAGCAUGCCAGCAUGUGUGCCGUGCAAAUUGUUCGAUUAUUUGUUCACAAUGAGCACCAAGUUUUCACUUGCAGUUUCUUUGUCGCAUUUGCUACUGUUAGAAGCAGACUAGACUGUACACCUUUGCUGUGACAUGACUUUUGCCCUGGACGCCAAUCUUUAUUUGAAUUCAUGAGUGCAUUGCUGAAGCUGCAUACGCCUGGUGUAAACAAACAUGGUAUCGGUGGCCGCGAGGGAGGAAGACGACGGGAUGGUGGCAGCCGCCGUGGAGCGCAAUGCGAUAAAGGGAGGCGCGCUGGAAACGGCGGCCGCGGAUAUGGCAGUAAGGGAAGGUGCUGCGACGCUUUGAGGACCGGCCGGCGGUUCUGAUCGCGACGGCGCGGCGAGCAGGAGCGCGCGCUGGGAGGGUCGGGGUGGACGGUAUUUCAUUUACCGUCCGGGCCUGGGUUCUAUGGAUCGUUGGAUCCGGAGGCUGCGGCCACGAUUCGACUCGACGGACUGACGGGCAGCGUUGUCUUGUCUGGGCCAAGCGGAGGCCCAGUAACUGGAGCCACACGCGUUUCAUUCAGCUGAGGCCCGUUCGUCGUCGAUGAGCCUGAGACGUCGUCUGCCGUCGCCGGUGCACGCCGCAGAUGGUGGGCGGAGGUCCAUGCUUCUACCGCUACCGGUGUCAUCAUGCUGCUUGGAGGGUGGACAACUGACGCUCGCUAGCAUUAUUGGUUCAAUAUCACCUUCUUGACAGCCAUUUUCUCUUCAUCGUCUGGAUUGUGGUAUGAUCAGGAGUGCUGAUGAUGCACCAUAAGCAAGAAUCGGCACUCAUUGCAGCAUAGAGGAAAUCAACUUCUUUAGUGAUAGCGGAGGGUGCAGAGAAAUACUUAUCGAUCGUGGGGUUCGUUUUGACAAACGCUCUCGGCACACGCAUUUGACAGAUAAUGUCAAAAUGCUGUGAUGAUAAAUUGCACACGGGUUCAGAUCUCAUUGACCAUAACUAGGAUUGACUUAUAAUAGUUCUCACAUCAUUUUCUAAAUUCAUUCUGAAAUGUUUUCUAUAUAUUAUUCCAUGCCCCGCGCAGACUCCUCAUUGCUGCUCUGCUUGCCAGAAAACAUUAGGAAUGAAAAACACAGCUCAGGGCAAGCAUGAUAAUUUGCUAAGUGGAACAUUUUUGUCAAACUGAAUGUAACAGGGGAAAAAAACAAAUCUAAACAGGCCCAAAGAAAACACAGAUGGCAUGAAUCUGUGUGUUCCCUUUAGCUAGGCUCUUUUUUUUUUUGCGAGUAAAAAGAGAGCUUUGUUAACUAGGAGGACAUAGAUUACAGUCGUCUUUGACGAGGUCAAGUAUGCACGCAGGCGCUUGGCCAAGCCAUACCGCCGUAUGCGUAUUCCUUCUAGCUAAUAAGGCUAAUUCAUUUGCAACUAAAUUACACUCUCUUUUCACCUGUGUUACUCUCCAUUCCUCAAGCAAUUGUGUUUGUUCUAUUGCCGCAGCAACUAUGAAGCUCAGUUCUGAUUUAUCUUCCUUCUUCCGCAACGCCCUAACCAUUCUCGCGCAGUCCGACUCGAUGAUCACAGGCCCUUGGACCCAUUGCGUUGCUAGUCGAAUUCCGUCUUCGCAAGCUUUCGCCUCAGCUCAGUCGCAUCUGCGCAUCUAAACAACACUCUCCAUGCUGUGAACAAGACAUCUUGCUUGCCUGUUUCCUUACCUGUUCCAGAGAUUCCCGUAAACACAAGAGAUAAUGCACUGAGCUGGUGAUGCAUGAUGGGCCAGAUUGGUGACUGACCAAGCCCUCCAGAGAACAAGCUUGGUUAAAACUCUUUGUUCGUUCGAACAUCUCUCCAGAAGUAACAACAGCCAAUCAGGGCCAGUGUAAACGAAUAAUGCCUCAGCUGGUAGGGACCAAUGAUCACGCAUCGCUAAACGGAGACUUCGUGCUUGAGGGCAAGCCACCGUGGCAUGAAAGCUAGUCUCUACUUCCUGCCCACAAAGGUCGCAGAUGUCCUCCACUUCUAAUUUUCUGAUGAGCUUAUUUCUCUUGGUUGGGAACAUAGUUUCCACGUGAAGAUAUUAACCUUCGUUGGAAUGUUACCUUCCCAGACACAAUUCCAUAACUUUCGGUCACCAUCUGGCAGUAAACUUGUUGCUGUGCUAACCUGCAUGUCCCGCAAUUUCAAUGCCAAGUUAUAAGCACUCCGCACGGUAAAGAUCCCAGGUUUUUCCAUGUGCAAAGCGAUGAAAUCUUCUGAAGCUCUCUCUGGCAGCUUGAUCUUUGCAAUUGCAUCUGCAUCCGCAGGAUUAAAAAUGCCUAGGAGCUUGUCAUAGUCCCAAUUACGCCCUGAUAUAUCCAACAAUUCAGAUACCCAUCUUAGGCGGCAACGCCCCUGCCUUGAUGUUACAUUCAUCGAAUACUCUCUUGGAAUCCAUGGGUCACGCCAGAUGCGGACCUGUGAGCCACAUCCUAUUCGCCAAAUAAUUCCUUUUUUUAGGAGUUCGAGACCAUGCAUANNNNNNNNNNNNNNNNNNNNNNNNNNNNNNNNNNNNNNNNNNNNNNNNNNNNNNNNNNNNNNNNNNNNNNNNNNNNNNNNNNNNNNNNNNNNNNNNNNNNUAAGCUCAAAUGUGGCUCUCUCCACCCCAAGUAUCUGUUUAACCUGAUCAUGUGUUUCCUGCUGCCCUUUCUCAUUGAACACUAUAGAGCAUUUUGACGGAUUAAUCAAUUGGCCUGUGCAUCGAGUAUAUAUGUUCAGCAACUCUUUAACCUGGCUAGCCUGAUCCGUGGUGGCCUUGAGGAAGAGUAAUGUGUCAUAUGCAAAUAGUAGAUGCGAGAUGCCAGGAGCUCCCCUGCAAAUCUGUAGCUCAUGCAAAGCACCACUCUGAACUUUACUGUUGAUCAAUUCUGACAUACCAUCAGCAACAAAGAGAAGUAAAUAUGGCGAAAGCGGAUCACCUUGGCGAAGACCGCGUGUUAGAGUGAACGGUGUCGACAUGACACCAUUGAAGCAGACCGAGUAGCGUACCGAUGUCACGCAAGUCAUGACACGCUGUACCCAUGAGCUUCGAAAGCCUAGCUUCAGCAAAACAUUGUUCAAAAAACUGCAAUCCACCGUCAUAUGCCUUGGAAAGAACAAGCUUUUAAAUUGGAGAUUUUAUAUCACUCGAAGAAUAGAGCCGUGUACUAAGAAAUCAUUCAUUCUGAAAACGUGACCCGUUUUCAUGUCACGUGGAGUCGUGGAGCGCACACGAGAAAAAUGUGUUGAUUGAUAGUAACAAGGUUCUUGCAACAAUAGAAUUGGUUGGCUGAUUGUGAUUGCGGAAGGCAAAUGGCAAAUUAGACAUGCAUGAAAACGGGCUGGUCUGGGAAACCCCCAAUGCCGCGGAGGCGCGGAGACGAACACGAAGAAGCUGGAGGCCCGUCUUUUGUGGCGGCCCGUUGAACAAUUUGACGUCUCCAUCGUCCUGGAUCAAUUCCCCCGUGGCCCAGUCCACCGUGAGAACUGUAGUGUGCUUUACGCUAAGCCCAUGAGACCAAGCCCACACCGUCCGUUGCCAUCCCCAUUGUCCCGACUCUCGGAGGUUCCUUCACUCUCCAAAUCUCCAAUCACUCUCCCAGUCACAGUACAGCGCCGCCUCUUCUGUGCAGGCACCUCACCGGCGGCCACCUCUCCUCCGCUCCUACCACUUUACCAGCCAACAUGCCGUCGGAAGCCGCCGCUCCCUGCACAGUACUGUAGCCUGCCUGAGCCCCUCCAUUCGCAACCAAAUACCCGAGAGCCGAGGACGAGGGAAAUCCUCAAAAUGCUGGGGAAAUGCCGGAGGCCGGCGCCGCGGGACGGCGACGGCGACGGCGACGCGACGGCCAUCCUCGACGACGCGGACCUGGAGGAGAUUCUCCUGCGCCUCCCCUCGGCGGCCGACCUAGCGCGCUCCGCCGCCCUCGUCUGCCGUCGCUGGCGCCGCGUCUCCUCCGCCCCCGCCUUCCUCCGCCGGUUCCGCCGCCUCCACCCGCCCCAGAUCCUCGGAUUUUUCAUCUGCAAAGGCGGCCGCCCCCACCGGUACGACGUGCUCAACCGGUCUCCCCUCCCAGUGCUCGACCCUACCUUCCUGCCGGUGGUCGCGCCUAAUCCCGGCGUCGGCGGCGCCGUCGGCCGAUGCCGGGAUUUCUCCCUCAGCUCGCUCCCCACAGUCGACCAUUGGUCCCUCGCCGACUCUCGCGAUGGCCUCCUGCUCUUCUGCUCGUCCUGCGACCGCUCUACCAAUGAUCGCGACCUUCCGGACCUCAGGGACAUCCCCAAGCACUUCGCCGUCUGCGACCCCUUGUCAGGCCACUCUAUCCUCUUGCCCAAGCCUGGUGCCGGCCUGUACCUUGGGUCUUAUUACCUAGGCGCUGCUUUGGUAAUCAGUGACAAAGACGAGGGGGGCACUGGCAUCUUCUCCUUCGAGGUGCUCAUUGCAACAUACGUUCUUAGGGAGGGGCCGUGCCUCUGUGCUUUCUCCUCAAGCUCACGACAAUGGGUAGUGCUCCCAUGCCCUGACACUUACGAACUUUACAAUUAUGAGACGCCCUGGAUCGAUGAUGGUGCCCGUGACAGUGGGCAUGUCUAUUGGGUCGUACACGACUGGGGAAUGGACUACGAGCAUAUCCUGGUGCUGGACUUGCAAACCAAGAAGUUCUCCACCAUCAAUCUGCCAUGCAGCGGCAUGUGUGAUAAGUACAACAGGAACAUCAAGGUCAUGAGGAGCGAGGGUGACAGGGACCUCCGUGUCGUGGCAAUGGCGUGGUCCCGCUGUGCACUCCAUUUCUGGCGUCAUGACAGGAGCAGGAGUGCCAAAGGCCGAUGGUUGAAAGAGGAUGUCGUGAAGUUUUCGGGUGUGGAUGGGUUGCUUGAUCUCAGAAUGGCAGGUGGAUCUGGUAACAGUUAUUUGAUUAGGAUUGUAGAUGCUGGAGAGGGAUUUGUUUUCAUCAAGCACUAUGAGGCUCCCUGGGUGUUUGUCCUCAAUCUCAAGGAAAUGACAAUGCAAAAGCUGCCAAAUAGGGAACGGUUCUGUGGGCAUGCACUUCCCUACAGGAUGGCUUUGUCUCCCCACUUACCAAAUUUCAGAGAAGGGAACCACUGAGCAAACAAGAAAGGAACCACUGAUCUAGGUAAGGCAUUAAAUCAUUCUCAUUUCAUUUCAUUUAUUUCUUCAACGAUUGUAAUUUUUGUUUGCUGAGCCAGUAUAUGUCUCAUAGUGCUUUUUUAUAAGCACUGCGUGAGAUCUACUUGUGGAAGCAUUCCAUGUGAGAAUCAGGUGUUUUUUCUUUGUUAUCCUGCAAUCAUACAGCAAUUGAUGGAUUGCCUAUUUGGAAUACCUGGUAUAAAAUGCUGAAUAAUGCUCCAAAUUUUAUGACCCUGGGAAUUCUUGAAAAUAUAUGCAAUAAAAGGAAUAGCUACGAUGGCACUUCAUGAAUUAGCACUGAAAAACAUCCCAUGUAACUUGCUUUGUGGUCAGUUUUACAAAAAGAAAAGCACAAGUAUUAUGGAUGAAUAAACUAAAACAGUGACUAAUUGCAUAUUCUCCAUUUCAAACAUGUGCAGUUUUUAAUCUACCAGUGAAUAAAUUGAUUGCUAGCAUGCAUGGGCGGAGCCAGAAAUGGCUUCCACCCAGGGCUGGACCCAUGGAUAAGUGCUGAGGUAGCUAAAUUUGAGCAAAAUUCUAGUGUUUUGGACCUAGGAACUUCGUGUAUUGGCCUGAGAUGCACUGCGCUGGACCCAUGCUACAGCACACCCAGCAUAGGCCCUAGCUCUGCCCCUGCUAGCAUGCUACUGCAAAGGUUUGUUUGGCACUGGCACUGCUAUCCCUUUUCUCUUCUAAACAAAUCUGCAAAUUAUUCUUACUCCUUCAUCCCAUCUCUUUCCCACUUUCCCAUUGAUUGCACCUUGCCUAUGAAUAUGAUUUUCCCUUCCUCACCCCAGCCUCGUCUCUUGAGCUCUGGGAGACUGGGACCAUGAAUAUGGUUUCCCCUUCCUCACACUGGCAUCUUCUCUUGAGCUCUGUCAGACUAGGACGACAUAAGCAGCUCCAGUUCUACGUGAUAUGCAAUCUCCAUAAUCAAUACGCCUAGAGGUUGAUCCAAACUUCAAACACAAUGAUGUAUCGAUUAUAUGAUUUACCUUUUCUUAAGUGGAUAACAAAAAAAUAGCAGAAUCAUAUCAGAAGUUUGGCUUUUCUCAAGCUAAGUUCCAUCUCUGCCAAAUUAUCACAUCAUGUGCUCCCAGAUCCAUUGUCAACAUGUCACUUUUUUAAAAACAACUAGUUGCCAAACCUUCUGGGUCAUGAUCUAUCUACCAUACCUUUCGAGCCAAAUGAAUAGCUCAAUGGUCUAGUCAGUAGUGACCAUUCCACAGCCUACGCCGUCAUUUGGUUCUUAGCGCAAUCUAAAUUUUAUUUGAUCCAUCCGUAUGGAAGUUUUGUCCUGUGCACUUAACACAUGAGUGCUUGCAUAGAUUUUGCACUUCAGGACACAGCUCAACUAGAUUUAUGAUGCCACACGUGACCAUAGCCCGAGCCCCCACGUCUCCGUCAUGUGUCACAACAUUUGGAGCAUGCCGGUCCAGUCGGUAAAAUCUGACUGUCCAGUAUCCAGAACUUCAAAAACUCGGUGCAAUGCCUGUUCUCCUUUAGCCCUGGCAGCGCGUUGUUUUUUAGUUUCAUUACUAACCUAUUAAGAAAUUGCAUAGCACUAGAAUCGGUGGAUAGGUUCUUCUCUAGUUGCGUAUUGGCAAUUUGGCAAGCAGACACCAUGUUUUACUUGACAUGUCCCCGGUUUAAAAUGUCCCCUAUACUAUAUUUACUCUGAACAUCAGCAUUUUAUAAGCUCAAUUGUCCAUUGUGAUAUGUGGUGAUGCUAUCAAGCUUUCCCCACAUGUGCUAUUUGCUAAAAGAAAACAAAAGGAAAUACUUUGCAGCUUAGCCAUCCUUUUGGAUAAUAGGGGCUAUGUUCUGAGCUCCAUCCAUUAUUUGUAAAGUAAACCAGUAGCACAUAGUAUUCAGGUCUCUCUUCUGUUAUUCAGAUAGCUGAGAGCCUGUGCACUGUACUGUUAUACUGUUAUACACUUCUUCCAAUUAUUUAUUCCAAGUGGUAAUUUAGUUUUGGAUUUUGAUUAUAUGGUUUGUUAUUUUAUGUAUAAUUUUGUUUUAAUGAUUUAACAUGUAAAAUAGUCAUCGUUAUGGUGGCUGUAUGUUGAGUCUAUUCAGCCACGUCAGAAGCUAGAGUUAGGUUUUGAGAAGUGGAAUCAGGAACAUCUAUCUUGCUUGCAAGCAAUAGACAUGUUCGGUGAUCUGCUGCUUUUGCUCUUUUUCCUGUACUAAAUAGUUAAAAAAAUCUCUGAAACAGUUUGGAUUUCUUCUCUCUCUCUCUCUAGUGUGGUUUAUUGUGUUUGUCAGCAUGAGUACAUGUGAUCUGUAGUUUGAUUAAUGAAUGUCACCCUGUUUUUUUUCCAGUGAGAUGGACAUUGUCGUUAGCCAUCAGGGGCAGGAUGUAGAAGGUGAGUUAUCAAUACAAUUUCUGCUCGUAUGUGCUUUUGAUGCCCAAUUUUUCUUGUUUCCGUGCUGCCAAAUGUCAAUUGGCAUGCCCCGUGUGGAUUGCAAGUUUAAUCACAACGCUUCUAUUGCAGGCACUGUUUGAAGGGAACUACGGGAAACGGACUUGGUUGCUUGUUUUCCUCCGCUAGUUUAUUCAGUUUGCGAGUUAGCUAUGCCGGUAGACUGGUGAACUAUGUGGUAUUAUGCGUGUGAUGUAUGGUGCGUGUUUUAUUUUAGCAUGCUGCUUGUGAAUGUUCGUGUGCUUCCUUCUGUUAUUUUCAAUGGUGAACUAUGUGGUACUCCCUCCGCUAUCGUGUUAGCUUUUUUAGAUAUAUAUAUUUUGCUAUGCACCUAAAUGUUAUGUGUAGACAUAGCAAAAUCCAUGUAAGUCAAAACGAUCUACAUUUUGAAACGGAAUGCACGUGAGUUAAGAGAGGACGGUGAAGACGUGGUUAAUUGGAAAAGGAAAAAAGAAAAGCAAGGAUAGGUGACGUGGACCACAGGAGAUUUCUUGCAUGUUAGUUCAAGCCUCCUUUUGGAGUCAGAUAGCACCAAACUGCUGUCAGGUAUAGCUCCAAGAAGCGUUGUUAGUUCCAAGCAGUUAUUAGUCCAAAAGCUAUUCAUCGAUACUAGAAUGAUGCUGUGGACACAAAACCGCCUACCGGAUUACUUGACAGUAAAGUCAAAUUUGUGACGUCAUUGCAAAAACGAGAGACAACUCAACCAAAUGGUACAGCCUUUUAUUGUCCAUCCAGCAAGAAUGCUGAAACAAAUAAUAUGUUUCACAGCAAAAGCAACCUAUAUAUAGCAAAUUAUACAGUUACAACUACAUGGGCGCUUGUAGUAUCAAGGCUUUGCAUCCAACACAACACGGUAGUUGUAGCGUCGCCCUCGUUCACUUGUUUGCUAGUAUUUGCUAUUUAGUAGGUACAGUAUCCAACAUGGAUUGUAAAAAGAAUAGUGACGAAAAUUAUACCCACCCACCCCAAAAGAAACAAGAAAUCAUACACAAAGCAAAACCAGGCGACCAAAAUACAUAUGCCUCCUAAACUGUUUCUCAAACCCCCACCGCAUAAUCUGUGGUU